rnacentral:tRNA from 1 species
AGUAAAGUCAGCUAAUUAAGCUUUUGGGCCCAUACCCCAACCAUGUUGGUUAAAAUCCUUCCUCUACUA